CUAGAACUCAGGCUUACACUCCUCUACCUCAGUCUCCUGACUGCUGGGACUUUGAACAUGUGCCACCACAUUCAGACUCGGUGCUGGACUGUGCCAGGAAAUGUUAUAGGAGUUGGAAACAUGGGAUGAAACGUUUGAAGAUAUCUUACAAGACAGGUAGAGACAAUUGAGAAAAGAGAAAAGAAACUGAAGUUCAGAUUCUGGUCUUGUCACCUACGACCCAGGACUGGUAUUUCUUUGAUAACAACCAGAAA
rnacentral:lncRNA from 1 species